rnacentral:rRNA from 1 species
UACGUAGGUGGCAAGCGUUGCUCGGAAUCACUAGGCGUAAAGCGCAGGUAGGCGGUUUGAUAAGUCUGUUGUGAAAGCUCCCGGCUCAACUGGGAGAGGUCAACGGAAACUGUCAGGCUAGAGUGUGGUAGAGGUAGCUGGAAUUCCCGGUGUAGCGGUGAAAUGCGUAGAUAUCGGGAGGAAUACCUAUGGCGAAAGCAGGCUACUGGACCAUCACUGACGCUGAUCUGCGAAAGCUAGGGGAGCAAACAGG